rnacentral:siRNA from 1 species
UGCUUGCCUUUACUUCAUUGCU